CUGAUCGUGUGAUAUUGUACUCUUUAUAAUUGUUGGGUUACUGACAAUCAUGACCGGUGGCGUCGACUACUAGUUCUAAAUAUCAAUAUAGAGAUGCAAAUGUUGUCUAGAUAUAUAGAAAGCAGCUCAGCUCUUCUCUAAGUUAAUCCUUGACCCUUGACUGCUAAAGCAGUUAAAAUAAGUCUAUUUUCACUUCAUUUCUUUCUUCUUCUGUUAUGAAUGUAUGAUAAUUUGAUUGGUAGCUUUGGAAGUGGGCCAUAUCACAUGAGCAGGCUAACGAGAAAGUGGUGAACUAUGUAUGAGUUAGUUAGUUACG
rnacentral:sRNA from 1 species